rnacentral:rRNA from 1 species
AACGCGAAGAACCUUACCAGCUUUUGACAUGUCCUGGACGGUUCCCAGAGAUGGGAUCCUCCCUUCGGGGUCGGUCACAGGUGGUGCAUGGCUGUCGUCAGCUCGUGUCGUGAGAUGUUGGGUUAAGUCCCGCAACGAGCGCAACCCUCGUCCUAUGUUGCCAGCGGGUCAUGCCGGGGACUCAUGGGAGACUGCCGGGGUCAACUCGGAGGAAGGUGGGGAUGACGUCAAGUCAUCAUGCCCCUUAUGUCUUGGGCUGCAAACAUGCUACAAUGGCCGGUACAGAGGGCUGCGAACUCGCGAGAGUAAGCGAAUCCCGGAAAGCCGGUCUCAGUUCGGAUCGGGGUCUGCAACUCGGCCCCGUGAAGCUGGAGUCGCUAGUAAUCGCGGAUCAGCAACGCCGCGGUGAAUACGUUCCCGGGCCUUGUACACACCGGAGUA